AAGCCGUAGGCCGGAUGAGCCGGCGGCAUACAGAGAAGGGGAAGGAGGUGGAGGUGGAGGUGGAGGUAGCGGCGGCGGCAGCGGCGGUGGAGGUGGAUGGGGACAAAUUCGACUACAACAUAGAGGAUUGCCGCCGCAGGUUCCAGGCCGUCUACCCUGGUGAAUCGUUCAAGCACGACGCCUAGGGUUCCCCAUCGCUAUCCUUUGGUUCGCCUCUGGUGUCUACCACGACGUUCCAAUCGCCAGAGUCGGAGCCCCGCCAUCGUCCAAUCCUCGACUUGGGGCCGUCUCUCAUCAAUUCCAGCCAUUAGAGCACUGCACCAACAAAGGGAACCCAAGAGCAGCUCCUCGCGAAAAUCCUCCAUCGCAUCGAAUUUUUGAGUUCUUCCAGAACUUCGGUGAGAUUGCUUCUGCACUGUUCGUCACAGGACGGUGAGUUCCUUCUCGCUGAAACAUCUCGGUAUAUUAUGUUUGGCAUCAAUUUUUUAGCCCCCUACCAAUUGUUGUCAAAAGUAGGCCUGGCAUUGUCAAAAUAGCUUUUGAGGGAUUUUUUUUAGAAACAAACUUCUGCGAGGCACAACCAUAAUCUGUGUGUUAGAAAUAAGCUUUGUUCAUGUAUAUUAUUAUGCCCAAUUUAAAACUGAGUAUGAUCAGAAUGGUUUCAUUAUGGUUAUUGUGACUUGUGACUGAAGGACUAUGCCAUUGUUGCCCCGUAAAGAUUUGUGCAGGUCCAUACUUCCUUUUUCCAAUGUGGUCGAGGUCUCUAGCAAGGAUACCCUCCCUGGGGUGUUCCGCAACUUCGUGGACUGCGUCUGCUCACCCAACGCCAGUGGAGAUCCGCUGCUGCAACACCUCAAGGAAGCGUCCUGCAACACAGCGCAACGGCCGCAGGAUUGUCCUUCAGGAACUCGGCACCUGGACCUAGGCAGGGCAACGUCGUCUGUGCUAUCCUUGUCUUCCUGGUCCAUGCUUCCUUUUUUUGAAGUCUGCGCGGUCGAGGUCUAUGGCAAGGACGCCCUCCCUGGGGUAUUCCGCAACUUCAUGGACUGCAUCUGCUCACCCGACGUCAGUGGAGAUCCACUGCUGCGACGCGUCAAGGAAGCGUCCUGCACAGCGUAGCGGCCGCGGGGUCAUCCUUCAGGAACUUGGCGUGCGACCUGCUCACCUAGACUUGGCGGGGCAGCGGCGUCUGUGCUAUUCUCGUCAUCCUGGGGCGAUCGGCAAUAUCAACGGAUGAUUCUUUGAAGGUUGUUGCAUCCAGGUCGAUGAUACCUGAAAUUCUUCGGAGUUCUUUUGAAUCGAAAGAUCAGGAAAUAAGCUUGUGGUGACUUUCUGAGGUUUUCGCAUUGGACCGUUUGGAACUUCGGAUUGGCAGAGAGCUAGAGACCCCGGUGCUCUGAAGGAUGUUGAAUUUGAGAACAGAAUUUAUUGUUGUUAAAUAAUAUUUGCUUCUUUCAUAUGGAAAAGUUAGCGUUGUUGGGAGCUCGAUGUUGCAGUGGGCCUUGACAGUGGCUAGCUGGGAGUUGGCGAGGUAGAUGUCGUCGUCGACAAGGGCCGUGACCUCAUCUCCUUUGGCCCCAAGUCCGACUACCACCACAACCAGACAUGCUCCUCCAUAGGCCUUGGAUUACUGUCAGCUACAAGAUAAAGUUCGGAGAAAGGAGCUAAAACUUGACUCACCAGGUCUGCUCUAUAUUGUACCAUACAGUUCAUAUUUUGGUAGUCUUGCUUCUUCGGAAAUUUCUGAAAUUCAAAGUUACCCUCAAAGUGGUAGAGAAUGGACAGAACUAGAGCAUGGGCUGUCAGCUUCUGUGUUGGUAGGGCAAUUCUUAGGCCCACCAAGAUACUGGUCCUGGACAAAGCCACUGCUUCGGUGGACAGUGCAACCGAUAACCUGAUCCAGAA